rnacentral:rRNA from 1 species
AAUCAACGCUGGCGGCGUGCCUCAGACAUGCAAGUCGAACGCGAAAGUCCCCUUCGGGGGACAAGUAGAGUGGCGCACGGGUGAGUAACACGUAGGUAAUCUACCUUCGGAUGGGGAAUAACAACCGGAAACGGUUGCUAAUACCGCAUAAUGCAGCGGCACCUAAUGGUGACAGUUGUUAAAGCGGGGGAUCGAAAGACCUCGCGUCUGAAGAGGAGCCUGCGGCGGAUUAGCUAGUUGGUAAGGUAACGGCUUACCAAGGCGACGAUCCGUAGCCGGCCUGAGAGGGCGGUCGGCCACACUGACACUGACAUACGGGUCAGACUCCUACGGGAGGCAGCAGUCGGGAAUUUUGGG